GAUCCUCCUCCUCCUUCUACUUUCGUCUAGCCCUUCAAGAAGAGGUUCAGAGUUUUUCUUCCUCCUAGUUCAAAUUGUAUCCUGCAUACACAAGAAAACAAAACCCUAUUAAGCAAUGGUUAGCACAAACAAAAACAAAAAUAAAAAAAAAAAUCAAGUUGAAGUUAAUCAAUAAUCACACGAAUAGAAUAGUUAAACCAUGAGUCCCCAGCAACGACGCCAAAAACUUGUUAAGACUCCGACAACUAUAUCAAAUAGUAUCAUGGAGUUAUAGUGCAGAAAAGUCAACCAGAAUGCAGAAAAGUCAACCCAUCAACUAGAAACGUCAAUCUGUCA
rnacentral:lncRNA from 1 species